AAUCUCCAUAGAAAUUAGCCAAUUUUUUGGAACGAUACAGAGAAGAUUAGCAUGGCCCCUGCGCAAGGAUGGCACAUAAAAAAAAAAAAAAACUGCGUGAGAUAUAU